UUUGCCUGAAGCAAAAUCAAGCAUAAAAGUGUAGAAGAGGUAGAGGCACAGCUCCGUCUGAAGCAACCUGUAAGGUGUUGAGGGGUGAAAUGGAAAGAUCUCUCUCUCUCUCUCUCUCUCUCUCUCACACACACACACACACACACACACACACACACACCUCUGGAGCAGCUUACUGAAGGCAAUGACUCUGCAAAAUUUUACUCAGCGAAAGAGGGUUGGGUACAAAUGAGAUACUUUGUGACAAGUGAGGGCAAAGAAUGGAGUAUGUUUUUAAAUGGUGGUGGCAGUAGUGAUGAGUGUGUAUAAGUGUGUGUCUGUGUAUUGUUCUCAAGUAUAUCAAAAGGAAAGCAAGGUGGAUUCUGACUAUAGCAAAGUGGUAGCUUAUGGCCAGUCGCUACUAACCCCCUUUUACUAAUCUAGAAUUUGCCUGCCAUAGGUGAGAGGGUUGUGAGCUGCCCUUUCCUGGCCUUGAUUGGCUCCCUUGGUGUCGUGGGAUAAUAAGCAGAGGGAAAGUAGGAGGCCUCUGUGUGUCCCAAAGACUGGGAGUCAUACUGGCAAAAUCUUAAUGACCGGGGGAAAAUUACUUUCUAAAAGGUGCCAUGAGGUUUUCAAAAUAGGUCAUAAUCCUAAAUCUAUCCUAAGUGGUCCUUUUUUAGAAAACCCAUUCUUUGUGCACAGAGAGGAAUGAAGUCUCCAGAGGAAGAGGAAAGAGCCAAGUGAAUCUCAGAGCCCCUUGGCCACACCAGCCCCUGGGAUGAUGCUACGAACAGUCACUGCUCCAUCAGUCAUCCACAGAGGCCAGAAACAUGUCUGGUCUUGUCAGCUUCUCCCAACAUCCCAGCUUUUGAAACUUCACCAUUCAUUUUGCUUGAAGGUUCCUUCCUGCCCCAUCUCUCAUAUUUUCAACAAUUGAUCAUUUUCACAGCCUCUGAAAGAAUAGAGGUGGGCCAGGUUUGGGGGCAGUGUGACGAGGCUUUCCCCAACUUGCACUAAAGUCUCUGACAUGUCCAUGCCAAGGCAGGAAGGGACCAGACCCUGACUCGCUUGCCUAGGAUCCUCAUUCCCCAUCCUCAACAUGGCUGCUUCGUCUGGCUCCUGGAAUUGGGACACCGCCACCUGCCACCACCUCUGCUGGCCACCGGGGGCACAGUGCUCUUCUGCCCACUGACCUGGGUGUGAAAACAUUAUUUCUACCCUUCCAGAAAACAUGCAGAUGGCUAGAAGAAAGGUUUCUGGGCAAUCUUACUAAGGAACUAAUGCAAACAGAACAUGGCCCAAAGCCACGACCAAGAAGAAUUAGAGAAUACGAGGUUCUAGACGGUGCUGGCUACUGAACAAAACGUUUUCACUUCUAGGUUGGGUGGGAGUUUGGCCACCAUAUGGUUUCUUUAAUGUUGCCUAUCCUGCUUCUUGGACUUGUCUCCAGGAAAGCUUCUAGCACAUUCUUGUAGGACCAAGACAUGGGGCUUCCCUGGUUUACCGAUAUCCUCCUCUACUCUCAAGGUCCUGGACAAAGGACAAAGGAAGUCACUCUCUGGGCCUCAGAAUGCCUCUCAUGGACCUCAGGCAGCCCACCCUCUGCCUACAGUCUCCUCCUUCAGGAGGGCCUCUAAGACUCUGCAAGUGUCCCAUCCUAUCAUUUCCCCCAAUGAUGUUCUCUGGGCCCCGCUCAUUCUGCAUGGAGCGUGAUCACUAAUCCUUCAGGCUGGCUCUCCCUGUGAGGCCUGCCCAGGGCCCGCAGCCAUCUUUACCUUGGGCCUUUCACAGCGGCAUCAUGACCUAACCAGAAACAGACUGCCUUUUCUGAUGCAGUAAACAGCUGAAUGGAGUUCCUAUUUGAGUUACCCACUGAGUUCCUACUUACAGUCUUAGGAACGCUCCCAUUCUUCAACUCCCUAGAGGAAAAGACUUGUUUGACACUACUGAGGCUGGGGACACCCCAACCCUCCUCAGGGAAAGUUACCCUUGUCUGUGGGCCUGUAUUCCCUGGGGUGGCUGCCCACCCAGAUACAUCAGGUCCCUGUCUCCACCAAAGAGAGAUUAGUGACCAGAACAGAACUGGGCCUCCAGGCACAUUGGCUUCUUCUCAAGCACACACUGCAAGAGUUCUAGCACUUUCUGCUCCUCAAUGUUUUGCCCCUCCAGGUUGUCUAGAUGCAAGAAAGAAGGCUCUGUCUCCACCAAGGGUCUGUACCCAAACUCAAAUACAGUCAAGGGAACCUACGUGUCUUCACCACCCGCCUCCAACUCCAGCCCUCCACUGGACAUCUGUAUUCUGAAAAUGGAUCCUCUCGACCCCACCCCAAUCCGCCCAGAGGACACAAGUCCUGUCCACUCCCGGCCGCAGCUGCUGUUCAUUGUUGCCAUUUCCUGGCUGGCUCCUGACCCCAUCCGAGGUCCUCUUGUCUCUCUCACUUAGAUGGGUGGAUGUAACACCUUCCUGAUGCAGUAUCAUCUGCAAAGUUAAUUAAUGUGUCAUUGGGCUGUUGCCUGCUUCCUGAUCCUUAUCAGGGAUUUAAAUAAAACACAGCAGCCCCA